CCUACGGGAGGCAGCAGUGGGGAAUAUUGGGCAAUGGAGGAAACUCUGACCCAGCGACGCCGCGUGCGGGAUGAAGGCCUUCGGGUUGUAAACCGCUUUCAGUAGGGAAGAAGCGAAAGUGACGGUACCUACAAAAGAAGCACCGGCUAACUAUGUGCCAGCAGCCGCGGUAAUACAUAGGGUGCAAGCGUUGUCCGGAAUUAUUGGGCGUAAAGAGCUCGUAGGUCGUUUGUUACGUCGGAUGUGAAAACCUGAGGCUCAACUUCAGGCCUGCAUUCGAUACGGGCAAACUAGAGUUUGGUAGGGGAGACUGGAAUUCCUGGUGUAGCGGUGGAAUGCGCAGAUAUCAGGAGGAACACCAAUGGCGAAGGCAGGUCUCUGGGCCAAUACUGACACUGAGGAGCGAAAGUCUGGGGAGCGAACAGGAUUAGAUACCCUGGUAGUCCAGACCGUAAACGGUGGGCACUAGUUGUGGGAACCUUCCACGGUUUCUGCGACGCNGCUACGCAUAGUCGCCCGCCGUCGGGAGGUACGAGCGCGAGAAGUUAAACGUUAAAGGUAAAGUUAGACGGUCGUGUAGACGUUGUCCGAACGGACGACGACGAGGGAGGUAGG
rnacentral:rRNA from 1 species